rnacentral:lncRNA from 1 species
AUGACAGAUCAAGAUUCAACUUCCCCCUCUGAAAAUGGAGUGGAGAUCUCCACAAAUGGUGCCCACCAACCAUCAUCGUCCAAAGAAACCACACUAGGAACCCCUUUCGCAAAACGAACGCUGAGACCACGGAACAUCUCCACCAUUCAAGCUGACUCUGACCGCAGGAAGAAGAAGAACUCCAAACCAGAAAAGAGGCGGAUGACUGAGUGCUUGGAAACCAUUUACGAGGAGCCAGUGACCAAUAAGAAAGGUGAACUCCUCCUGACAGGAAGGAAAUUGAAAAGGUCCAUAACAUUCAAUCCAGGGAGUGGGGAGGAGAUAAGCAAAGGAAAAAUCAAGAAACGCAGAGACAGAAUAAAAAAGAAAUUGGGAAAUAAUUUCAAAUUAAAAAUGAAAAAGCUAAAUCAAGUCAAGUCCAUGAACAUGAGUGAUAUCAGGUGUAAACUGAAUCUACUAGACAUUGAUGAAUCUUUGUAACCUAGAUUUGUUUCUAAAAGAGUAUUUUACACUCUUGUCAUGGGUCUUGGAAUUUGCCAUUUAACUGAGGUAACAAAUUGUUGUGAUUUUUGCAAGAAAUAUUUUAGCGUCAAAAUUCCUCCUCCACACUCACAUGAAGCUCUGAAAGCCCACUAAUUGAUUAAUUGUAGAGUGUUCAUAAUGGAAGUUAGUUGCAUCCUUUUUGCUGAGACUUCACACUAAUACACAAUAGUACACAGACAUACUCGCAAUAGGAAACAAUACAAUAAUGUACACUUGCUACGUAAUAGCAGGGUUGUCAUGAUUAUAGCCUUAAAGUAUCUUCACUUCGAGUACCCUAACAGGGCGGCAAUCCCACUCAUAAUUUUAGCCCCAACUCAAUGGAGAGAUUUUGACCGCUUGCAGAAAAGCACCCUUUCAGAAUGUUGUAGUACCUACUUAAUCAGGGACCUUUGCAUCCUUAAUUUUUGUAUAAUUUUUAUUUUGAGAACUUGAUGUUGGGUUUUGGACGGUAAGACACUUUUAUUUCUCUCUCAAAAUUAUAAAAAACUGUACUGUAGGACUGCGAAUUCUAUGACCUAAUAGGAGCAUUAUUCAUGUCAGAAGAAUAAUAUUCUUUUUAAUUUGAGUGCCUGCUUACGAAGAUUUGAGUUUGACUUGAAUGACCCAUUUACUUUAGUAGCUUUUUUUCAAUUUAUUGUAAAAAGCACCUCUGGUAGACUUGAAUCAGUUGAGUUGGCAGUUGCUCACUUCCAGUUUAAACAUGACAGUGCCUCUGUCUUCCAAUAGCAAUCAAGAUGAGACAGAGGGCAGUGCACUCAGACAUGUAAAUCAAGACAAAGGCAGCUAACGAUUGAAAGGAAUUAACUUUGAACAAAUUUGAUAGGAGUUCCAUAAUUUUUUAUGAAACCAAAAGCAACUCCAUAAAUUCACUCAGUUUUAAAAUUUAUUUUGCAUACCUUAAGGGUAUCAGUAAUUAUCCAUAGACUUAAAAAUUAAGCAGUGGUUUUGAAAGAAAAAGCAUCUUUUCUGUGGCCAUUUUCCUUAAGCGUACAAAUGAUUGCCCCCCUCCCAAAAAAAAAAAAAAAAAAAAAAAGCCUCGUGUUGUUUCUAUACAUAUCAAGGAGCAGGAGUAUGCAUAACCACAUAUCUCCGUUUGUGGUGUUGCCGACCUCCUGUCAAACUUUAUUGUUUUCUUGGAAAGCGCGUCAACCUGAUUUCUCCUUUGUAACCAAUGAUGUCCAUCAUCAAAAGCUUUUCAAAAACUGGAUGUCUCGACAGUUGGUCUAUUCUUAAUUUAUUCUGUCCUCUGAAUACUCACAGUAACAACUUGUCAGUUUGAUUUCUCAAAUGUAAUUUAUGGUCUGAUGCCUUGUAAGUUCAUCUCUCCUAAUCUUUAUCUUUGUAACUACCUAUCUUUGCUCUAUCUUUUUGUUUCUUUUCCAAUUUGAAUGUCAUAUCUAAGUAGACCUUCCUGUUCUAUGUUAAUUAAUUUAUUGCGUUUUGUCUCCAUGUUUUUUAAAACUUUUUCAUCAACUCAGGAUUGGUUUACUUUUAGGCUGUGAGCUCAGCACUACAAAUGAAUCAUUGAAGUUUUUUUUUUUUUUUUUUUUUUUUCUAAAACGUUCGGAGGUAAAGGUAAAACCAAAAAUUGAACCAAAAAAUUUUCGCAAGAAAAGGAAAAUAUUGUAACUUUCAUUUUCUAUCAGAAUUAUCAAAUAUCAAGUGUAAUACUCAAUUAGUUCAUCCUUAAGUUUGUAUAGAAUUGCUCUGAUACCUAACAAUGAUCGGUGAAGUUAGAAACUUCCAUCUUGUCAGAUAGCUUUUCAGUUUUUUUUUUUUUACUUAAAUCAAACUUCAACAGCAAGAGGAACGUGGGAACUUUGGGAUAUAGCCUCAUGUUUAGUUAAAUGGGCAUAUCUGGAGGCAACCUGCAAUCUGCAAACAUUGCCUGGGUGAAGGACAAAUUGCUGUUCUAUUUUUUAUUUUGUUAACAAAGGGAUAAAGUUAAGGUAUAUAUUUGUGAUAAAUUCCUUAACUCAGUAUUGUUGAACCCUAUCAUAAAAAAUUAAAUGUAUGUUUAUCAAGUUUAUAAUUUUGUAUAUAUUGUAUUUUCGUACGGAACGAUGUAAAUAAAAUCGAUGCUUGGUACCUUCUUGAAAUCAAGCCUCAGAAUUUUUCUUUGUCAAUACACGGAAAAUCAUGA